UAUAUAUAUAUAUAUAUAUAUAUAUAUAUAUAUAUAUAUAUAUAUAUAUAUAUAUAUAUAUAUAUUUGUGAAGUUGCUUUAAGUACUAAUAAGCAAUGUACAAAAUGUUUGAAAUAUUUUACAUUAUCCUAUCUUUAUAAGAAAUGCAGUUAUUUUCAUAUUUUAAACAUAAACAAACAGCAUAAAAACAUGUGUGAUAACAAUUGGAUACAUACAGAAAAUGUGCAAGCAACAAUUAGACUUGUUUUUAAUACUGAUGGAAUUCCUGUUUUUAAAUUAUCAAAGUGGACCUUGUGGCCUUUGCUAGCAUCCAUUCAUAAUUUUCCAUAUUCAUUGCAAAUUACUAAUAUUUUGUUUUUUGGUUUCUGGUCCAGUUUUAAAAAACCAAACGUGCAAUUAUUUUUAUCUUGUUUUGUUGAUUUUUUACUAACCUAUCCACUACUGGUAUACUCUUAUCUAAUAAUGUUCGUGUUUUUUUUCAUGUAUCUAUUUUUUUGUGUGAUACAAUUGCAGGAGCUAUGGUUUUUUGUUGUAGGUAGUUUAAUGAUUAUAAUGGUUGCCAUUGGUGUUCUUCUCAAGGGGUAAAAGUUAAAAAAAGGUAGGAGGUCUUGUAUGACUUAUCCAUUUUCUGAUGUUAAUGGGAGUUGUAGAAACCAUACAGAUUUUUUUUGGAUUAAUGUGAUUAAAGGGUUUUUAGAUUUUUCUACAUUUGUAAGAGUACCUAAUUUUAAUUGUGAAAAUGGAACAGUUGUUAAUAAUCUGCACUGUAUUGAGCUUGGUGUUAUGAAAGCUAUGUUUUCUUUCUGAUUUGAUAGUUAUUAUUCUGGUUAUAUUUUUUCUAUUAGAAGACACUGUACUGUUGUAAAUAAUCUUUUAUCUGCAAUCAGUGUGCCAAGCAAUAUAAGACAGACUCGAUGAUCAUUAAGUUGUAUAAAGCAUUGGAAAGCUUUAAAGACCCAAACGAAAAUACUUUUAAAGUCAAUUUUCGCAAUUCUGUUUGUUUUGUUAUGCUAAUUUGUCAGUAGAGAACCAACAGACCACUGACUUCAUAAUUUUUCCAUCUAAAAUUAUACUAAAAUAUCCUAAUAAAUACAAUUUGAAUUAGAUGAUAUAAGUUAUCAGAGAAAGUAAACAAAGUACACUUAUUCGGAAUAAAAAAUGUAACUACUGCCAUUUGGUUCUCGACUUUUUUGAAAUGGGCUAAAAAACAUGCUUAAGCAUCAUAUUGCCUAUAAGAUAUACUUACUGCAAUAUUUUUUUUUUUUUCACUAAUAUACAGGUUUAAGUUUUGCUUUAUAAUGACUAUUAUGUUUUUUGCAGAUUUAAAUAUCUAUAUCAGUACAGAAAAGUAGAGCUGUAUGAUUUUUUGUUUUGUUGAUUUAAACAGUUGAAAA